UAAGAAUCAAUAAUAAAAAAAAAAUAAAUCAGCAAUAAUCCAAUGAAUAAUCUAUAAAAACCAACAAAAAAAGGCAAGCAGUAAUCCUCAGCGCACUGAAGCAUAAAGGUGUGCACAACAUAUGGUCCUUCGAGCCGGAUAUGAGAAGAAAUUACACGCAAGGCGAAUCCCGUGUAAUUUAAACCAGCAAAUAUAACUAUUAGAUCUGGAUAGUGAAGACAGCCAAGGCAUAAAAGAGACUCAACUCAGGUCGAGCUUCUCGUUAACACGCACUUGACUGGGCAAAUGGUUUUACAACACUUCAGCAAGGACAGAUGAGCUCAAUGCGAGUUCACGCUUGUUUAAAAUUGCAAUGAGAUUUUAACUAAAAUUAUCUACUUGUGCAUAUUGCGUGCGCUCUUGGAAUAAUUGCGCUUGACACUCGUACUUAACCACCUUGCAAAAAGCAUUUUUCUGACAUUAAGCAUCACGUGGUGAGGCUUCAUUGAAAGCUCUAGAAAAUCAGCAACUUUUAAGUUCAAUUAAAUUAAAACACAAUUAAAUGUCAACUAGAAUUCAACAUCAGGGCGUGUAAAUAGAAGCAUUCUUUGACUUCAAGUAGAUUUUCCAGAUGCCUCAAAUUCCCUGUUUUAAAACUUCACUCGAAUCGCAAUAAUACUGUUACAGUUUGUUGUAUAAUACACAGUAGUAUGACCAAUAAAAUUCAUAACUUAACUAUCAA